CCUACGGGUGGCAGCAGUGGGGAAUAUUGGGCAAUGGGCGCAAGCCUGACCCAGCAACGCCGCGUGAAGGAAGAAGGCUUUCGGGUUGUAAACUUCUUUUCUCAGGGACGAGGCAAGUGACGGUACUUUAGGAAUAAGCACGGGCUACCUACGGGCCAGCAGCCGCGGUAAUACGUAGGUGGCAAGCGUUAUCCGGAUUUACUGGGUGUAAAGGGCGUGUAGGCGGGAAAGCAAGUCAGAGGUGAAAACCAUGGGCUCAACCUGUGACCUGCAUUUGAAACUGUUUUUCUUGAGUACUGGAGAGGCAGACGGAAGUCCUAGUGUAGCGGUGAAAUGCGUAGAUAUUAGGAGGAACACCAGUGGCGAAGGCGGUCUGCUGGACAGCAACUGACGCUGAGGCGCGAAAGCGUGGGGAGCAAACAGGAUUAGAUACCCGUGUAGUC
rnacentral:rRNA from 1 species